rnacentral:rRNA from 1 species
ACGAACGCUGGCGGCGUGCCUAAUACAUGCGAGUCGAACGCUUCUUUUUCCACCGGAGCUUGCUCCACCGGAAAAAGAGGAGUGGCGAACGGGUGAGUAACACGUGGGUAACCUGCCCAUCAGAAGGGGAUAACACUUGGAAACAGGUGCUAAUACCGUAUAACAAUCGAAACCGCAUGGUUUUGAUUUGAAAGGCGCUUUCGGGUGUCGCUGAUGGAUGGACCCGCGGUGCAUUAGCUAGUUGGUGAGGUAACGGCUCACCAAGGCGACGAUGCAUAGCCGACCUGAGAGGGUGAUCGGCCACAUUGGGACUGAGACACGGCCCAAACUCCUACGGGAGGCAGCAGUAGGGAAUCUUCGGCAAUGGACGAAAGUCUGACCGAGCAACGCCGCGUGAGUGAAGAAGGUUUUCGGAUCGUAAAACUCUGUUGUUAGAGAAGAACAAGGAUGAGAGUAACUGUUCAUCCCUUGACGGUAUCUAACCAGAAAGCCACGGCUAACUACGUGCCAGCAGCCGCGGUAAUACGUAGGUGGCAAGCGUUGUCCGGAUUUAUUGGGCGUAAAGCGAGCGCAGGCGGUUUCUUAAGUCUGAUGUGAAAGCCCCCGGCUCAACCGGGGAGGGUCAUUGGAAACUGGGAGACUUGAGUGCAGAAGAGGAGAGUGGAAUUCCAUGUGUAGCGGUGAAAUGCGUAGAUAUAUGGAGGAACACCAGUGGCGAAGGCGGCUCUCUGGUCUGUAACUGACGCUGAGGCUCGAAAGCGUGGGGAGCAAACAGGAUUAGAUACCCUGGUAGUCCACGCCGUAAACGAUGAGUGCUAAGUGUUGGAGGGUUUCCGCCCUUCAGUGCUGCAGCUAACGCAUUAAGCACUCCGCCUGGGGAGUACGACCGCAAGGUUGAAACUCAAAGGAAUUGACGGGGGCCCGCACAAGCGGUGGAGCAUGUGGUUUAAUUCGAAGCAACGCGAAGAACCUUACCAGGUCUUGACAUCCUUUGACCACUCUAGAGAUAGAGCUUCCCCUUCGGGGGCAAAGUGACAGGUGGUGCAUGGUUGUCGUCAGCUCGUGUCGUGAGAUGUUGGGUUAAGUCCCGCAACGAGCGCAACCCUUAUUGUUAGUUGCCAUCAUUUAGUUGGGCACUCUAGCAAGACUGCCGGUGACAAACCGGAGGAAGGUGGGGAUGACGUCAAAUCAUCAUGCCCCUUAUGACCUGGGCUACACACGUGCUACAAUGGGAAGUACAACGAGUCGCAAAGUCGCGAGGCUAAGCUAAUCUCUUAAAGCUUCUCUCAGUUCGGAUUGUAGGCUGCAACUCGCCUACAUGAAGCCGGAAUCGCUAGUAAUCGCGGAUCAGCACGCCGCGGUGAAUACGUUCCCGGGCCUUGUACACACCGCCCGUCACACCACGAGAGUUUGUAACACCCGAAGUCGGUGAGGUAACCUUUUGGAGCCAGCCGCCUAAGGUGGGAUAGAUGAUUGGGGUG